UUCUUAUCCAGAGAGGUGGAGGGACUGGCCCGAUGAAGCCCGGCAACCGUCACGCAGUUUGUGGCAAGGUGCCAAUUCCUGCAAGACAGCAGCAGUAUGUCUUGGCAGAUGAGAA
rnacentral:ncRNA from 2 species